GGGUUGUGAGGUUAAGCGACUAAGCGUACACGGUGGAUGCCCUGGCAGUCAGAGGCGAUGAAGGACGUGCUAAUCUGCGAUAAGCGCCGGUAAGGUGAUAUGAACCGUUAUAACCGGCGAUUUCCGAAUGGGGAAACCCAGUGUGAUUCGUCACACUAUCAUUAACUGAAUCCAUAGGUUAAUGAGGCGAACCGGGGGAACUGAAACAUCUAAGUACCCCGAGGAAAAGAAAUCAACCGAGAUUCCCCCAGUAGCGGCGAGCGAACGGGGAGGAGCCCAGAGCCUGAAUCAGCAUGUGUGUUAGUGGAAGCGUCUGGAAAGGCGCGCGAUACAGGGUGACAGCCCCGUACACAAAAAUGCACAUGCUGUGAGCUCGAUGAGUAGGGCGGGACACGUGGUAUCCUGUCUGAAUAUGGGGGGACCAUCCUCCAAGGCUAAAUACUCCUGACUGACCGAUAGUGAACCAGUACCGUGAGGGAAAGGCGAAAAGAACCCCGGCGAGGGGAGUGAAAAAGAACCUGAAACCGUGUACGUACAAGCAGUGGGAGCACAGGUUUACCUGUGUGACUGCGUACCUUUUGUAUAAUGGGUCAGCGACUUAUAUUCUGUAGCAAGGUUAACCGAAUAGGGGAGCCGGAGGGAAACCGAGUCUUAACCGGGCGUUAAGUUGCAGGGUAUAGACCCGAAACCCGGUGAUCUAGCCAUGGGCAGGUUGAAGGUUGGGUAACACUAACUGGAGGACCGAACCGACUAAUGUUGAAAAAUUAGCGGAUGACCUGUGGCUGGGGGUGAAAGGCCAAUCAAACCGGGAGAUAGCUGGUUCUCCCCGAAAGCUAUUUAGGUAGCGCCUCGUGAACUCAUCUCCGGGGGUAGAGCACUGUUUCGGCUAGGGGGCCAUCCCGGCUUACCAACCCGAUGCAAACUGCGAAUACCGGAGAAUGUUAUCACGGGAGACACACGGCGGGUGCUAACGUCCGUCGUGAAGAGGGAAACAACCCAGACCGCCAGCUAAGGUCCCAAAGUCAUGGUUAAGUGGGAAACGAUGUGGGAAGGCCCAGACAGCCAGGAUGUUGGCUUAGAAGCAGCCAUCAUUUAAAGAAAGCGUAAUAGCUCACUGGUCGAGUCGGCCUGCGCGGAAGAUGUAACGGGGCUAAACCAUGCACCGAAGCUGCGGCAGCGAACGUAUCACCCAAGACAACUUUACGGAGUUGACGAUUGACGGAGCGAAGCGACGUCAAAGCGUUCAUUAAAGUCGAGUUGGCUUAGGGAUACGUUCGUUGGGUAGGGGAGCGUUCUGUAAGCCUGCGAAGGUGGCCUGUGAGGGUUGCUGGAGGUAUCAGAAGUGCGAAUGCUGACAUAAGUAACGAUAAAGCGGGUGAAAAGCCCGCUCGCCGGAAGACCAAGGGUUCCUGUCCAACGUUAAUCGGGGCAGGGUGAGUCGACCCCUAAGGCGAGGCCGAAAGGCGUAGUCGAUGGGAAACGGGUUAAUAUUCCCGUACUUGGUGUUACUGCGAAGGGGGGACGGAGAAGGCUAUGUUGGCCGGGCGACGGUUGUCCCGGUUUAAGCGUGUAGGUGUGUGUUCCAGGUAAAUCCGGUUCACUUUAACACUGAGGCGUGACGACGAGGCACUACGGUGCUGAAGCAACAAAUGCCCUGCUUCCAGGAAAAGCCUCUAAGCAUCAGGUAACAC
rnacentral:rRNA from 1 species